rnacentral:rRNA from 1 species
CAGUCGCCGCGGUAAUACGUAGGUGGCAGGCGUUGUCCGGAAUUAUUGGGCGUAAAGGGCUCGCAGGCGGUUUCUUAAGUCUGAUGUGAAAGCCCCCGGCUCAACCGGGGAGGGUCAUUGGAAACUGGGAAACUUGAGUGCAGAAGAGGAGAGUGGAAUUCCACGUGUAGCGGUGAAAUGCGUAGAGAUGUGGAGGAACACCAGUGGCGAAGGCGACUCUCUGGUCUGUAACUGACGCUGAGGAGCGAAAGCGUGGGGAGCGAACAGGAUUAGAUACCCGUGUAGUCCCUGUCUCUUAUAC